GAAACAGAAACAGAGAAAAGAAAAAAUACUUAUAUAUAUUAACCAGAAACAAAUUUAGCGAGCUUCUUCGAAAAUGGCGAACAAGCUAAUCAGCGAGAUGGGGCUCCCCAAAUCGAUAGCUAACGUAUUUUCCGCUCGGAAUAUCCUCACCGCCAAGGAUGCAUUGUCACUAAGUGAAUUCGAGUUAAUGGAGUUGAUGGAUGUUGGAUUGGAAGAGGUUAUGACGGCAGUGGCACGCAUUAGUGAAAUUGCGUGCCCGCCCUAUCAAACUGCUUUGUCGUUGCUGGAGCAGCGAAGACAAAAUGAGCAUCUAGCUGGUCAUCUCCCCACUGGCUUAAAAGGACUUGAUGCAGCUCUGUGUGGUGGAAUACCGUUUGGCGUUGUGACUGAGCUUGUUGGUCCUGCAGGAAUUGGGAAAACACAGUUGUGCCUGAAGCUUGCUUUGCUUGCGUCGUUGCCUACUUCUCAUGGAGGGUUAGGUGGCCAAGUAAUAUAUAUUGAUGUGGAAUCCAAAUUUAGUUCAAGAAGGAUUAUAGAAAUGGGGCUCAGUAGUUUCCCAGAAAUAUUUAACAUGGAGGGCAUGGCUCAAGAGAUGGCUGGAAGGAUUCUGGUUUUGCAGCCAGCAUCGUUAUCUGAAUUCACUGAAAGCUUGCAGAAAAUAAAGGUUUCUCUUCUCCAGAAUGAUGUAAAGCUGCUCAUCAUUGACAGCAUGACUGCUCUUGCUUCUGGAGAAUAUGGCCAGGGACCUCCUAGACUAGGUUGGCACUUCUCUUUUAUCAAAUCCUUAGCAGAAUGUUGUCGGAUUCCUGUAGUGGUGACUAAUCAAGUAAGAUCUCAAGUCCGUGAUGAAGCCUCUCGAUAUGUAUUCCAAGGGCAGAGCAGAGCCGACACUGUUGAAGAUACUUCAAAAUUUGAUUAUCAUCUUGUUGCUGCUCUGGGGAUUCAGUGGGCUCAUGCAGUUAGUAUACGUUUAAUUCUAGAAUCUAGAUCAGGACAAAGGUUUAUAAAGAUAGCAAAAUCUUCCAUAUCUCCAUCUGUGGGGUUUUUUUUCAGAAUCAAUGCAUCUGGGGUUUUGUUGCUUAACAACGAAGGAGAGGAAAUGACGGGUCCGGAAGCAAACACUAUCCAUUACCAAGGCCAGAGUGGCAUAAUCAACUAUGAUCGUGAUUCGUGAAGAACUGCUAUGAGAAACCUAGAAACCUAGUAUGAUGGAUGAAUAAGAGACGAUGUGCAGUCAACUAUUUGACUUCAGUAUUGGCUGUGUUCACAUAUUUGUUGCUUCUGGUCUGUUCACAUGGAAUUCAUUAUGCUGGAAGAGACCAGCCAAACGAUGAGGAUGAGUCUAUUAUCAAAAUGAUAAAUACUUCGCCAAGGAGCAUCAUGUACUUCAGCAUAAGUACAUCUGACUUGAUAAUAGUUUUCAAGUGUAGCUAUUAAUUUACAUUUGUUUGACUUGCAAAAUAUGUGAUGUAGACGAACCAUUUUAAUAUCAUUUGUACUCUGAAUGAUUCUGAUCUCUAAAA